rnacentral:rRNA from 1 species
CAGCAGCCGCGGUAACACGGAGGGUGCAAGCGUUAAUCGGAAUUACUGGGCGUAAAGCGUGCGUAGGCGGUGAGUUAAGUCUGCUGUGAAAUCCCCGGGCUCAACCUGGGAAUGGCAGUGGAUACUGGCUCGCUAGAGUGUGUCAGAGGAUGGUGGAAUUCCCGGUGUAGCGGUGAAAUGCGUAGAGAUCGGGAGGAACAUCAGUGGCGAAGGCGGCCAUCUGGGACAACACUGGCGCUGAGGCACGAAAGCGUGGGGAGCAAACAGGAUUAGAUACCCCAGUAGUCCCUGUCUCUUAUAC